AUUGAACGCUGGCGGCAUGCCUUACACAUGCAAGUCGAACGGUAACAGGUCUUCGGAUGCUGACGAGUGGCGAACGGGUGAGUAAUACAUCGGAACGUGCCCGAUCGUGGGGGAUAACGGAGCGAAAGCUUUGCUAAUACCGCAUACGAUCUACGGAUGAAAGCAGGGGACCGCAAGGCCUUGCGCGGACGGAGCGGCCGAUGGCAGAUUAGGUAGUUGGUGGGAUAAAAGCUUACCAAGCCGACGAUCUGUAGCUGGUCUGAGAGGACGACCAGCCACACUGGGACUGAGACACGGCCCAGACUCCUACGGGAGGCAGCAGUGGGGAAUUUUGGACAAUGGGCGCAAGCCUGAUCCAGCCAUGCCGCGUGCAGGAUGAAGGCCUUCGGGUUGUAAACUGCUUUUGUACGGAACGAAAGACUCUUUCUAAUAAAGAGGUCCAUGACGGUACCGUAAGAAUAAGACACCGGCUAACUACGUGCCAGCAGCCGCGGU
rnacentral:rRNA from 1 species